rnacentral:rRNA from 1 species
UUAAGCGACUAAGCGUACACGGUGGAUGCCCUGGCAGUCAGAGGCGAUGAAGGACGUGCUAAUCUGCGAAAAGCGUCGGUAAGGUGAUAUGAACCGUUACAGCCGGCGAUGUCCGAAUGGGGAAACCCAGUGUGAUUCGUCACACUAUCGUUAACUGAAUACAUAGGUUAACGAGGCGAACCGGGGGAACUGAAACAUCUAAGUACCCCGAGGAAAAGAAAUCAACCGAGAUUCCCCCAGUAGCGGCGAGCGAACGGGGAGCAGCCCAGAGUCUGAAUCAGCUUGUGUGUUAGUGGAACGGUCUGGAAAGUCCGACGGUACAGGGUGAUAGUCCCGUACACCAAAAUGCACAGGCUGUGAACUCGAAGAGUAGGGCGGGACACGUGGUAUCCUGUCUGAAUAUGGGGGGACCAUCCUCCAAGGCUAAAUACUCCUGACUGACCGAUAGUGAACCAGUACCGUGAGGGAAAGGCGAAAAGAACCCCGGCGAGGGGAGUGAAAAAGAACCUGAAACCGUGUACGUACAAGCAGUGGGAGCACCUUCGGGUGUGACUGCGUACCUUUUGUAUAAUGGGUCAGCGACUUAUAUUCUGUAGCAAGGUUAACCGUAUAGGGGAGCCGCAGGGAAACCGAGUCUUAACUGGGCGUUAAGUUGCAGGGUAUAGACCCGAAACCCGGUGAUCUAGCCAUGGGCAGGUUGAAGGUUGGGUAACACUAACUGGAGGACCGAACCGACUAAUGUUGAAAAAUUAGCGGAUGACUUGUGGCUGGGGGUGAAAGGCCAAUCAAACCGGGAGAUAGCUGGUUCUCCCCGAAAGCUAUUUAGGUAGCGCCUCGUGAAUUCAUCUUCGGGGGUAGAGCACUGUUUCGGCUAGGGGGUCAUCCCGACUUACCAACCCGAUGCAAACUACGAAUACCGAAGAAUGUUAUCACGGGAGACACACGGCGGGUGCUAACGUCCGUCGUGAAGAGGGAAACAACCCAGACCGCCAGCUAAGGUCCCAAAGUCAUGGUUAAGUGGGAAACGAUGUGGGAAGGCACAGACAGCCAGGAUGUUGGCUUAGAAGCAGCCAUCAUUUAAAGAAAGCGUAAUAGCUCACUGGUCGAGUCGGCCUGCGCGGAAGAUGUAACGGGGCUAAACCAUGCACCGAAGCUGCGGCAGCGACACUAUGUGUUGUUGGGUAGGGGAGCGUUCUGUAAGCCUGCGAAGGUGACCUGUGAGGGUUGCUGGAGGUAUCAGAAGUGCGAAUGCUGACAUAAGUAACGAUAAAGCGGGUGAAAAGCCCGCUCGCCGGAAGACCAAGGGUUCCUGUCCAACGUUAAUCGGGGCAGGGUGAGUCGACCCCUAAGGCGAGGCCGAAAGGCGUAGUCGAUGGGAAACAGGUUAAUAUUCCUGUACUUGGUGUUACUGCGAAGGGGGGACGGAGAAGGCUAUGUUAGCCGGGCGACGGUUGUCCCGGUUUAAGCAUGUAGGCUGGUUAUCCAGGCAAAUCCGGAUAAUCAAGGCUGAGGUGUGAUGACGAGGCACUACGGUGCUGAAGUAACAAAUGCCCUGCUUCCAGGAAAAGCCUCUAAGCAUCAGGUAACAUCAAAUCGUACCCCAAACCGACACAGGUGGUCAGGUAGAGAAUACCAAGGCGCUUGAGAGAACUCGGGUGAAGGAACUAGGCAAAAUGGUGCCGUAACUUCGGGAGAAGGCACGCUGGUGUGUAGGUGAAGUCCCUGCGGAUGGAGCUGAGACCAGUCGAAGAUACCAGCUGGCUGCAACUGUUUAUUAAAAACACAGCACUGUGCAAACACGAAAGUGGACGUAUACGGUGUGACGCCUGCCCGGUGCCGGAAGGUUAAUUGAUGGGGUUAUCCGUAAGGAGAAGCUCUUGAUCGAAGCCCCGGUAAACGGCGGCCGUAACUAUAACGGUCCUAAGGUAGCGAAAUUCCUUGUCGGGUAAGUUCCGACCUGCACGAAUGGCGUAAUGAUGGCCAGGCUGUCUCCACCCGAGACUCAGUGAAAUUGAACUCGCUGUGAAGAUGCAGUGUACCCGCGGCAAGACGGAAAGACCCCGUGAACCUUUACUAUAGCUUGACACUGAACAUUGAGCCUUGAUGUGUAGGAUAGGUGGGAGGCUUUGAAGCGUGGACGCCAGUCUGCGUGGAGCCAACCUUGAAAUACCACCCUUUAAUGUUUGAUGUUCUAACGUUGGCCCCUNACCGGGGUUGCGGACAGUGUCUGGUGGGUAGUUUGACUGGGGCGGUCUCCUCCCAAAGCGUAACGGAGGAGCACGAAGGUUAGCUAAUCCUGGUCGGACAUCAGGAGGUUAGUGCAAUGGCAUAAGCUAGCUUGACUGCGAGCGUGACGGCGCGAGCAGGUGCGAAAGCAGGUCAUAGUGAUCCGGUGGUUCUGAAUGGAAGGGCCAUCGCUCAACGGAUAAAAGGUACUCCGGGGAUAACAGGCUGAUACCGCCCAAGAGUUCAUAUCGACGGCGGUGUUUGGCACCUCGAUGUCGGCUCAUCACAUCCUGGGGCUGAAGUAGGUCCCAAGGGUAUGGCUGUUCGCCAUUUAAAGUGGUACGCGAGCUGGGUUUAGAACGUCGUGAGACAGUUCGGUCCCUAUCUGCCGUGGGCGCUGGAGAAUUGAGGGGGGCUGCUCCUAGUACGAGAGGACCGGAGUGGACGCAUCACUGGUGUUCGGGUUGUCAUGCCAAUGGCACUGCCCGGUAGCUAAAUGCGGAAGAGAUAAGUGCUGAAAGCAUCUAAGCACGAAACUUGCCCCGAGAUGAGUUCUCCCUGAGACUUUAAGUCUCCUGAAGGAACGUUNGACGUUGAUAGGCCGGGUGUGUAAGCGCAGCGAUGCGUUGAGCUAACCGGUACUAAUGAACCGUGAGGCUUAACCUU